rnacentral:rRNA from 1 species
UACGGGGGGGGCAAGCGUUGUUCGGAAUUAUUGGGCGUAAAGAGCUCGUAGGCGGUUUGUCGCGUCUGCUGUGAAAAUCCAGGGCUUAACCCUGGACCUGCAGUGGGUACGGGCAGACUGGAGUGCGGUAGGGGAGAUCGGAAUUCCUGGUGUAGCGGUGAAAUGCGCAGAUAUCAGGAGGAACACCGGUGGCGAAGGCGGAUCUCUGGGCCGUAACUGACACUGAUGAACGAAAGCCAGGGGAGCAAACGGG